rnacentral:tRNA from 1 species
GGAGAUAGCUCAGUGGUAGAGUGCAUACUAGCAUGCAUGAGGUCCUGGGUUCAAUCCCCAGUACCUCCA